GGGUAAACCGGGUCCAGCGGCGGGGGGAAUAAAGAGUGCCCAAGGGUUGUUCGGAUGCAAUGUGGGGAAAGGGUGCGUGGGGGGUGAGGGAGUGCGUAUGUGAACGAUCCGAGUGAAAAUCGGAAAUGGCAGUGGAAACGACCGUGCUAGAGGGUUGGAGGGGGGACUGGAAUACUUGGUGUAGCAGUGAAAUGCGUAGAUAUCAAGUGGAACACCAGUGGCGAAGGCGAGUCCCUGGACAACUCCUGACACUGAGGCACGAAAGCUAGGGGAGCAAACAGGAUUAGAUACCCGAGUAUC
rnacentral:rRNA from 1 species